AAUUUUUUUUGCUACAUCUGAUAUAGCACUUCCCGAUAUCAGUGGCUCUCAUUUCGUCGAGUUGGCGCGGGUGAAGAUGAAAUUUAGUGCUGGUGUGAUUGCGGCCGAAACGAGUCAAAUUGAAGAGAAGAACCGCGAACUUGCGAAUCAAAUACUAAGCUAUAGCGAAAAUCAGGGAGGGACUCGUCUUGAGGCUUUGAAGAGAGAAAACAAGACUCUGGAAUAUAAGAUUAACGCAGGCGAAAGGGCUGGAAACAUACUCGAGGCUGAAAUACGCCAGCUACGCCGUGAGUGCCGUUCGAAAGAAAGGGCAUUGCAGGCCCUUCUGACGGUGGUACUACACUUCGACAGUGAGCGGAAGCUGCUCGAAGAGGAAUUGCAAAGAGAGAAAGAAUGUCUUCCAGAAUUACUGAACCUGUCCUUAGAAAAGAUGGCGGAGAUGAUCUUCCGAGUGUUCUGAGUUUUGUACUAGUGUCUUAAAACCGUUUAGGGUGAAGAAUCGAUGAUGGACUUGCAGCGCUGAAUGCUGCUGCACUAUCCAAUUCCUCCCCCGAUAUAGUACAGGCUGAUAAGAUGGGUCUAUCCAAGCGCAAAGUUUAUGAUCGCAACUUCCAAAAAUCCGAGGUUAUCAAGUACUUGGUACUCAAACAAAAACUUCAGCACAUAUCACUUCCCCUAAUCAUCAAAGGCACGAGAAAAACGUCUAUUCAGAAAAUCGCUCAACCAUGCCCCAAAAAAAUGUUGAUUCCAUUAUUUGCUUUUUUCUCGUCUACCUCAGCUAACUUUCUUGAUAUCUUUGUUACCGAAAAACAUGCGUAGAUGGCCUGUUUCAAAAAGAUACCAACCAGGACUAUCUUGUGUUUUUGUACAAGGCAAGCGUGCAUGAGUACAACGAGGGGUUCGGGCCCAGCGUGGUAAUCAAGCUUGACGGCGACGAAACCGUGUGGAAACGCAGUCGGAACAAAUGGAACUCUUUCGACAAAAUUAAGACGAUUUCUGACUUACACACCAAUAGCGAGGAUAUCGAAGUUAUCUGGGACCAUCUACACCUCAACUCGUUCUACAUCACCGAGAGAAUGUACUAUUAUCUUGACCAUGAGAAGCACAAAGAUAAACUUCAGACGCUUCGAGCUAAGCUCUACAUUACGAGACUCCAACAAAGAACCGAGCGAACACUCUUACUCCAGUUCAUCAUGGAAAAAAUACGAGAUGACAAGAUUAAAACAAAAAAACCAAACAAAAUCUGCUUUAAAAAGCAAAAUCUUUUGAAAACGCAAUCCACCCCAGACGACUUGCAGCUACCUCAUCCAGCCAAACUCCCCUCCACCUUUCAGCGUCAAAAAUCAUUUCUGAAACAACCUAAACAAUCAUGUACCGCUGCCCCUCCUCUUAACAGUAAAAAACGCAAACGAAUGUCACUAUCUUCAGGAAAUACCCAAAAUUCUGAUCGCUCAAAACUCAAUUCAGCCCAGCAAAACCCUCUCUAUAGCUUCCCGGUAUUUUCGCCUCCUAAUCUCAACGCCAUUCAAUAUAACAACAAUAACUCCCAAUCUAACAACUCACUCCUCGUCAGGCCACUGGCUCUUAAACCUCAAGCACAUGGCUAUUGGUCCGUCCAGUUCCCUGACUCUACGAUUCAGACCGCAAGGCAAUCCAAUCACGGCUUCUACACCCAGCCACUGAGCUGCAUUCACCAACAACCACAAACCAACAAUGACCUUCCAAAUAUGAAUCUAUCCCUUUACCCUUUUUACAAUUCUCAAAUAACUCAGAAAUGUCCCUUCAAUUGUUCACCUAACUAUGCCGUCACUUAUCCCAGUGGCCUCCCAGAAGACAAAAAUUAUUCGAGAGCAACGAGUUACCCUGCCUCGUAUCAAUAUCAUCAUUCCUCUAGUGACCGUGCUGAACUUAAUCUCCCCUCUCCCAAACAGAUUUCUCCUUUUAUUGACCCUAGAAUGACCCUGCACGAUCCAAAUCUAUCAAGUCUGUCAACAAAGAACAUACUGCAAAUGUUCGAUCAGGAAAGCAACACAAUGCUCCCUAUAGGCGCCCUCUAUUUUCCUUCCUUCGACAUCAAUCAAUCAAUUCCAGUUCAAUCGCUUCAUCCUCUACCGCCAAAACAAUGACAGAACCCUUACUGUCCCAAUAGUGCCUGAAAUACCAACAGUCGACCGCAUCUAUUGUCUCGUCUAUUCACCUUUUCUUUUGAACUUGACAUAAACUGCGUAUUGAAAAUGCUUCUGACCAUUAAAAUAUUCGCAGGCGUGAUCGCUGAAUUUUAAAAAUUCCUUUUAUUCGCAUUCGAGACCGAGCUUGUGCAAAAGCGGAGUCCUCACAAAUCAAUUUUUAAAAUUGCUAUAAACUCGCCUGAAGAAAUAGAA